UAGAUGGCAGGUAAUCCUUGGUUGCCUGCUCACUCCCUUUGAAGAGCAGAAGAUGAAAAUGCUGAUCGUCAACUAUGAAUGAAUACAGCUUGGCCCAAAGACAUCCAAGGACACGGCAUGUAAUUACCAUCAUCUUCCAAGUAUUUCCGGCAUUUGGCACCACCGUUUCCUCCCCACUGAAUUUGGAAGUUGGGAUGUCUUUGCAAGCAUGCGUCAUCAACACUGAAGCCAAGACUCCUCUGGAUCCCAGACAUUUGGACCAUUUGAUUGUCUCUUGCAUAUUCAGAGUAAGUAUCAAUCCUAUGUUUCUAUACCAUGUCUGAGAGGGAUUUCAGAAGGUAAGCAUCAUUUUUGUCUUCUCCUCAGCUUUCUAGAUAGUCAUGUUCAUAUUAAAAGCACCAUAGUGUAUAGUUGCAUAGUGUUGGGGGGGGUCCCCAUAGUGAUGGUUUGUACUUGUAAAUGUGUUUCCUAGGUGUUAUGAUAGAUUUUUCCAAUCCAAGCAGUUUUUCUUCCCAAGAUCCCAUGUAAUCACUAUCAUGCUCUAAAGAGGUGGCCUUCAGGUGACUGGGAUGGA